rnacentral:rRNA from 1 species
UACGUAGGGUGCAAGCGUUGUCCGGAAUUAUUGGGCGUAAAGAGCGCGCAGGCGGUCGUUCAAGUCGAGUGUGAAAGCCCCCGGCUCAACUGGGGAGGGUCAUUCGAUACUGAUCGACUCGAAGGCAGGAGAGGGAAGCGGAAUUCCCGGUGUAGUGGUGAAAUGCGUAGAUAUCGGGAGGAACACCAGUGGCGAAGGCGGCUUCCUGGCCUGUUCUUGACGCUGAGGCGCGAAAGCUAGGGGAGCAAACGGG